AAAUACACAUACAAUAUCAAGCAUCAGCAUCUCUUUCUCUCCUGCUUUCCCCUUCUCUUUGUGCUAGCUUUGUUUCACCUUCACCUAUAGGACAUACAUAUAGUAUCAAUCCUCUGUGUCUCUUUCUCUCUCCCACUAUCCCUCUCUCUUUCAACUUCUCCUAUAGAAACUUGUUUUCUCACUCUGCUUCUUUCUCUCAUCUCUCUCGCAUUUAGUCAUUUUGUGUUUCUCUUGCU